UACGAAGGGGGCUAGCGUUGCUCGGAAUCACUGGGCGUAAAGGGCGCGUAGGCGGCUUAUCAAGUCGGGGGUGAAAGCCCGUGGCUCAACCACGGAAUGGCCUUCGAUACUGGUAGGCUUGAGACCGGAAGAGGACAGCGGAACUGCGAGUGUAGAGGUGAAAUUCGUAGAUAUUCGCAAGAACACCAGUGGCGAAGGCGGCUGUCUGGUCCGGUUCUGACGCUGAGGCGCGAAAGCCAGGGGAGCGAACGGG
rnacentral:rRNA from 1 species